AACAUCAUCAUCAAGUGACUUACUGAGCAUAAAAAAAAUUAAGAUAUGUCUUUCAAAGUGUGGAUUUUUUUCCUCAUGUUUACGAUGAUAGCGAUAUGUGUCUCGCGAAAGGUUGAAGCAAUAGACAUACCCCAGUGUUGUUGCAAGACAGACGAAGACUGUAAACGUCUUUGUGGCGAUUUACCUCCUUAUUAUUGUGAUGGUGAAUGGUGUGAAUGUGGGCAUCGUCCUCCCAUAGUUCGAAUUACAAAAACUAGUGAAAACAUAAAUUGAAGAAGUAAAAUUCAUAGCAUGAAAUAGAAAGGAAGAAUAGAUUUGGAAUUUAAUUUCUCUUUCAAUGUAACUUUCAACAUGACAUUACCCAAAUAAGAAAGAUUAUUGUUUCCUUCCAUUCUUUUUCAA